rnacentral:rRNA from 1 species
AUUGAACGCUGGCGGCAGGCCUAACACAUGCAAGUCGAGCGGGGUUUUCGGACCUAGCGGCGGACGGGUGAGUAAUGCGUAGGAAGCUGCCCGAUAGAAGGGGAUACCAGUUGGAAACGACUGUUAAUACCGCAUAAUGUCUACGGACCAAAGUGUGGGACCUUCGGGCCACAUGCUAUCGGAUGCGCCUACGUGGGAUUAGCCAGUUGGUGGGGUAAUGGCUCACCAAGGCGACGAUCCCUAGCUGGUUUGAGAGGAUGAUCAGCCACACUGGAACUGAGACACGGUCCAGACUCCUACGGGAGGCAGCAGUGGGGAAUAUUGGACAAUGGGCGCAAGCCUGAUCCAGCCAUGCCGCGUGUGUGUAGAAGGCCUUCGGGUUGUAAAGCACUUUCAGUAGGGAGGAAGGAUGUUGUGUUAAUAGCACAGCAUUUUGACGUUACCUACAGAAGAAGCACCGGCUAACUCUGUGCCAGCAGCCGCAGUAAGAC